UACGUAGGGUGCGAGCGUUAAUCGGAAUUACUGGGCGUAAAGCGUGCGCAGGCGGUUUGUUAAGCCAGAUGUGAAAGCCCCGGGCUCAACCUGGGAACUGCGUUUGAAACUACAAGGCUAGAGUGUGGCAGAGGGGGGUGGAAUUCCACGUGUAGCAGUGAAAUGCGUAGAGAUCGGGAGGAACAUCCGUGGCGAAGGCGGCCAUCUGGACCAGCACUGACAUUGAGGCACGAAAGCGUGGGGAGCAAACAGG
rnacentral:rRNA from 1 species